ensembl:lncRNA
GUUUGCAUUAUGUCAUGGUGUGUUUUAUUUAUUUGGGAAGGGGGUCCUUGGAAGUUUUUCAACAAUCAGGAGGGGGCCUAAAGUUACAGGUCCUUCAGGCCCAUUCGCUGCUUUUUGAGCAGCACACCAGAUGGACACUCAGCUUUAAUAUCCACUGGAGACGGUGUGAGCGUGUGAUCAAUAGAAGCUGCAAUGAGAAGCCGAUGACACACCUUUGUGCGAGUGUUCGUGCUGCUGAGGAUAACCAAAACGUUGAGGAGGGCGUGUGUGGCAGGUGCCCUGAAAAAGUGACGCUUUCCCCACCGGCAUGCAAAGCACCGGGAGGCUCCGCUCCAGACUCGGGCGCCGCCGUGAUUAGACUGAGCUGCCGUACGGGGCCCGCGACCGGCGUGAGACUGAUUGGCUCACGUCCGCUUCAC